GAUGAAGAACGUAGCGAAAUGCGAUAAGUAGUGUGAAUUGCAGAAGUACCGUGAAUCAUCGAAUCUUUGAACGCAAAUUGCACUCUCUGGUAUUCCGGGGAGUAUGCCUGUUUGAGGGUCGCUUAACAAACCAUCGAUUUCGUUGCUUUUUUUUUAAAAAGUGAUGUUUAUCGGAUUUGAGCCGUCUUUUUUUUUAUAUUUAAGUGGCUUAAAAUUGAUUUUUUUGGUACGAUCGAAGCGUAUUUUUAUGAUCAAUUUUUGGUUAAAGAAACGCACACGUACCGUUAUUUAUAUGAUGUAAUACGUUUGACUAUUGGAUUUAGUUCAUUCGUAUACGAUAUUUUUCAAUAUUUGACCUCAAAUCAGGUAAGAACACCCGCUGAACUUAAGCAUAUCAAUAAGCGGAGGA
rnacentral:misc_RNA from 1 species